AGCGAGUUGAAGCCCCGAAAUAGAGUCUAAAAUUGCAUAGAAAUAAUACAUACCCAUGUUAAAUCGUUUGCCCAAGGCCUGUUCUAAAAUUUCGACCAGCACUCAUACGCGUCGUCAUAUUUAUUUGUGCAUGCUGAUUUUGCUGAGUUGCAGUUCUCACGAAAAUUUGAUGAUACGGGGGGUGCUAAUGGCACGAAUCCCCAUAUUUGUUAUCUCAGUAAACUUUUAACAUUGCUGUAAUGUAGACGUUUAAACAUUGAUCGUCAAGCUAAAUCAAAUUUAAGAAAUUUUACUGUUGCUAUAAAUACCGUUUUAACGUUAAAAAUUCUCCAACCUUGAAGUUAUUUUAGAUAUGGCAUUGAGAUAACAUUUGUAACUCCCCCCGGAAAGUUUACUCUAUGUAUCUCUCGCUUGAAUUUCGCCACUCAUCACAAUAGUGCAACGUUUCCAUGGAAACAUUGCACUAAAAACGAAACUUCGACGUUUAAUUCGAGCAAAGGCCAUUCAUCGGGAAGUUAGUGGAAUGCAUGGAUCGGGAAAAUUAGAUGACACAUUUGCUUUUAUACUAGUGAAUAUAAAAGCGAUCACGUGACAAAAAAU